GCCACUAUGGCAUAGUGGUUUGAGUGUUAGACUACAGUUCUGGAGACAAGGGUUCAGUUCCCACUUCGGCCA